rnacentral:rRNA from 1 species
AUACGUAGGGGGCAAGCGUUGUCCGGAAUUACUGGGCGUAAAGAGCUCGUAGGCGGCUCAGCAAGUCGGUCGUGAAAGCCCGAGGCUCAACCUCGGAACUGCGGUCGAUACUGCUGUGGCUAGAGUCCGGUAGAGGAGAGUGGAAUUCCCGGUGUAGCGGUGGAAUGCGCAGAUAUCGGGAGGAGCACCAGUGGCGAAGGCGGCUCUCUGGGCCGGUACUGACGCUGAGGAGCGAAAGCGUGGGGAGCAAACAGGAUUAGAAACCCUAGUAGUCC